rnacentral:rRNA from 1 species
CCUACGGGUGGCAGCAGUGGGGGAUUUUGCACAAUGGGCGAAAGCCUGACGCAGCAACGCCGCGUGAUCGAGACGCCCUUCGGGGUGUAAAAGUCUGUCCGUGAGGACGGAACAUGACGGUACCCACAGAGGAAGCACCGGCUAACUACGUGCCAGCAGCCGCGGUAAUACGGGGGGUGCAAGCGUUGUCCGGAAUUAUUGGGCGUAAAGGGUUCGUAGGCGGCACGUAAAGUCUGGUGUUAAAGGCCGAGGCUCAACUUCUGUACGGCAUUGGAUACUGGCGAGCUGGAAUGCGGUAGAGGUAAGGGGAAUUCCUGGUGUAGCGGUGAAAUGCUUAGAUAUCAGGAGGAACAGCGGUGGCGUAAGCGCCUUACUGGGCCGUAACUGACGUUGAGGAACGAAAGCGAGGGGAGCAAACGGGAUUAGAUACCCUAAUAGUC